rnacentral:rRNA from 1 species
UACGUAGGUGGCAAGCGUUGUCCGGAAUUAUUGGGCGUAAAGAGCUUGUAGGCGGUUUGUCGCGUCUGCCGUGAAAAUCCAGGGCUCAACCCUGGACCUGCGUUCGAUACGGGCAGACUAGAGUUCGGUAGGGGAGACUGGAAUUCCUGGUGUAGCGGUGAAAUGCGCAGAUAUCAGGAGGAACACCGGUGGCGAAGGCGGGUCUCUGGGCCGAAACUGACGCUGAGGAGCGAAAGCGUGGGAGCAAACAGG